rfam:Oryza meridionalis cultivar OR44 (W2112) chromosome 8, whole genome shotgun sequence.
AAUAAUUAUAGCUUUAUACUACUCAUCUCCAACGUUUAACCGAUUAUAUUAUUUGAAAAUUUUUUAUGAUUAGUAUUUUGUUGUCAUUAGAUGAUAAAAUCUGAAUAAUACUUUAUGUGUGACUUUUUUUUUCAUAAAUUUUUCAAAUAAGACGGACGGUCAAACGUUGGACACGGAUUUCCACGGCUGCGCUUAUU